rnacentral:miRNA from 1 species
GAGAGUGACACUCGGUAGAGCGUG